GACGAACGCUGGCGGCGUGCUUAACACAUGCAAGUCGAACGGAAAGGCCCUGCUUUUGUGGGGUGCUCGAGUGGCGAACGGGUGAGUAACACGUGAGUAACCUGCCCUUGACUUUGGGAUAACUUCAGGAAACUGGGGCUAAUACCGGAUAGGAGCUCCUGCUGCAUGGUGGGGGUUGGAAAGUUUCGGCCGUUGGGGAUGGACUCGCGGCUUAUCAGCUUGUUGGUGGGGUAGUGGCUUACCAAGGCUUUGACGGGUAGCCGGCCUGAGAGGGUGACCGGCCACCUUGGGCCUGCGAUACGGCCCAGAAUCCUACGGGAGGCAGCAGUGGGGAAUAUUGCACAAUGGGCGGAAGCCUGAUGCAGCAACGCCGCGUGCGUGAUGCCGGCCUUCGGGUUGUAAACCGCUUUCGACUGUGACGAAGCGUGAGUGACGGUAAUGGGUAAAGAAGCACCGGCUAACUACGUG
rnacentral:rRNA from 1 species